rnacentral:rRNA from 1 species
CAGCCGCCGCGGUAAUACGUAGGUGGCGAGCGUUGUCCGGAAUUACUGGGUGUAAAGGGCGUGUAGGCGGGAAUGCAAGUCAGAUGUGAAAUACCAUGGCUCAACUGUGGGGCUGCAUCUGAAACUGUGUUUCUUGAGUGCUGGAGAGGAAAGCGGAAUUCCUAGUGUAGCGGUGAAAUGCGUAGAUAUUAGGAGGAACACCAGUGGCGAAGGCGGCUUUCUGGACAGUAACUGACGCUGAGGCGCGAAAGCGUGGGGAGCAAACAGGAUUAGAUACCCUGGUAGUCCACGCCGUAAACGAUGGAUACUAGGUGUAGGAGGUAUCGACCCCUUCUGUGCCGGAGUUAACACAAUAAGUAUCCCACCUGGGGAGUACGGCCGCAAGGCUGAAACUCAAAGGAAUUGACGGGGGCCCGCACAAGCAGUGGAGUAUGUGGUUUAAUUCGAAGCAACGCGAAGAACCUUACCAGGGCUUGACAUCAUUCUGAAGGCUGUAGAGAUACAGCUGCCCUUCGGGGCGGGAUGACAGGUGGUGCAUGGCC